GAACCUGCCUCAAAGAGGGGGACAACAGUUGGAAACNACUGCUAAUACCGCAUAAGCCCACGGCUCGGCAUCGAGCAGAGGGAAAAGGAGCAAUCCGCUUUGAGAUGGCCUCGCGUCCGAUUAGCUAGUUGGUGAGGUAACGGCCCACCAAGGCGACGAUCGGUAGCCGGACUGAGAGGUUGAACGGCCACAUUGGGACUGAGACACGGCCCAGACUCCUACGGGAGGCAGCAGUGGGGAAUAUUGCACAAUGGGGGAAACCCUGAUGCAGCGACGCCGCGUGGAGGAAGAAGGUCUUCGGAUUGUAAACUCCUGUUGUUGAGGAAGAUAAUGACGGUACUCAACAAGGAAGUGACGGCUAACUACGUGCCAGCAGCCGCGGUAAAACGUAGGUCACAAGCGUUGUCCGGAAUUACUGGGUGUAAAGGGAGCGCAGGCGGGAGAACAAGUUGGAAGUGAAAUCCAUGGGCUCAACCCAUGAACUGCUUUCAAAACUGUUUUUCUUGAGUAGUGCAGAGGUAGGCGGAAUUCCCGGUGUAGCGGUGGAAUGCGUAGAUAUCGGGAGGAACACCAGUGGCGAAGGCGGCCUACUGGGCACCAACUGACGCUGAGGCUCGAAAGUGUGGGUAGCAAACAGGAUUAGAUACCCUGGUAGUCCACACCGUAAACGAUGAUUACUAGGUGUUGGAGGAUUGACCCCUUCAGUGCCGCAGUUAACA
rnacentral:rRNA from 1 species